AAGAGCCAGGCAUAAACCGGAAGACGUCGCUUGGGUCUGCCAGUGAUUAGGCUGCUUCCGCAUGUAACCAUCUAUACUGCAAGAGAAACUGCGGGACGACGGUUGCGAAGUGGCGUAGCAAUCACAUGAUUAUUAUUAUUAUGACCAUUAUUGUCUUAUUAUGCGUCUUAUCCGUGUCACCCUAUAUUGUUAAUAAUUAGCCUAUUUAUGUUGUAAUAUCAUAUUUUGUACUAUUAGAAAGAGCGUUUGUUACAGUGCAUGUAACAUCACUGUACUUGGUUUGUGCUCAAUAAACAAGAGUUCGUUGAUACGA